CCUGGUAUUGCCCGUGCAGUUCCUCCUUCUCGUGCUGCAUUCGCUGGAUUUCUUCCUGCAGACUCAGCUCAGCUGCUGUAGGUCCUGCUGGUAAAGAUGGCUCAACAUCCAUGGUCCUACCUGAUUUGCUCAGCAGCUCUGUAACACUGCUUUCCAGCUCUUGAAUUUGGGCCAUAUGCUUCUCCUUCUCCUCUGCCAUUGUGUGGACCUGCAGGGCCACACAAGCUCAAGUUAAAGCAGUGCUCAUGGUGCAAUGUUACACCUGUGUUCAUUGGAGGCAGCUGUGGCUCUGCCUGUGAGGUUACCUGCUCAGAGAGCUGCUGGACUCGCUGCUGCCAAAUGCUCCCCUCUUCCUUCAGUUUCUCUACAUACUGAUCUCUUUCUGCCUGGAGCUGCUGAAGCGACUCUGAAAGCUGGUAAAAACAAAACAAGGAAAAUUGUACCAACUGAUCAAUUAAAGGAUGGCUGAC